UUUAAAGUCUGGCCUGCCCAAUGAAAAUUGAAUGGCCGCGGUAUUUUGACCGUGCAAAGGUAGCAUAAUAAUUAGCUUUUUCAUUGAAAGCUUGUAUGAAUGGUCUUACGAGAAGGCAACUGUCUCUAGAUUAAUUAAUUAGAACUUUAUUUUUAAGUAAAAAAGCUUAAAUAAAUUUAGAAGACGAGAAGACCCUAUAGAGUUUUACUUUAAUAUUUUUUAUAUUAUUAAGUUAUUUUCAAUUUAAUUAAUAUUUAAAGUUUUGUUGGGGUGACAGUUUAAUUUAAUAAACUUAAUAUAAAUUAUUCACUAAUUUGUGUAUAUAUGAUCCUAUAAUAUGGACUAUAAGAUUAAAUUACCUUAGGGAUAACAGCGUAAUAUUUCUAGAGAGUUCUUAUCGAAAGAAAAGUUUGCGACCUCGAUGUUGGAUUAAAAUUUAUUUUUGGUGUAGAAGCUAAAAAAUUAAGUCUGUUCGACUUUUAAAAUUUUACAUGAUCUGAGUUUAAACCGGUGUGAGCCAGGUUGGUUUCUAUCUUUAUAAAAAUUUAAUAUUUUAGUACGAAAGGACCAGAUAUUAAUAAUAAUUAUUAUUUUUUGAUAAAAAUUA
rnacentral:rRNA from 1 species